AUAUAUGACAGGGAAUCUGUUUUUUUUUUUGUUUUUUUUUUUUGCAAGUCUGCUGCAUGGAUAGUGACAACAGAAAAUAAAUGAAAUGUCUAAGAUUGUGGGAAGGGAUCUAUUGUUGUUCUUUCAUCUCGUAUAUUGCUUUGUUUGCAAGGGCUGUUAUUGCUGGUUUGUUAGUUUACAUAUAUUGUCAAUCAAUUAGCG
rnacentral:ribozyme from 1 species